rnacentral:rRNA from 1 species
AGAGAGAAGCCAGGUGGCGACACCGAGCGGAACUCGAAAGCCUGUCUCAGUUCGGAUCGGAGUCUGNAACCCGACUCCGUGAAGCUGGAUUCGCUAGUAAUCGCGCAUCAGCCAUGGCGCGGUGAAUACGUUCCCGGGCCUUGUACACACCGCCCGUCAAGCCAUGGAAGCCGGGAGUGCCUGAAGUAUGCAACCGCAAGGAGCGUCCUAAGGUAAAACCGGUGACUGGGGCUAAGUCGUAACAAGGUAAC